CACCCGGAGCCGCGCACUGGCCGUGGCGUGGCGGCUCGCGCUUGCCAGGGCGCGCCAUGGCGCGGGCCGGAGCCGCGAAGGCGCUGCGGCUGCUCCUGCGCUCGGUCGCGCUGUGGCUCGCCCUCCUCGGCGCCCCGUCGGCGGCCGCGUCCAAGGCGGUGACCGCACACUUGGCUGCCAAGUGGCCCGAGACCCCGCUGCUGCUGGAGGCCAGUGAAUUUAUGGCAGAAGAAAGUAAUGAAAAGUUUUGGCAGUUUGUGGAAACAGUAAGAGAAUUAGCAGUUUAUAAGCAAACAGAAUCAGAUUAUUCUUACUACAACCUAAUCCUGAAGAAAACUGGACAGUUUUUAGACAAUAUACACAUCAAUCUCUUAAAGUUUGCUUUCUCUAUAAGGGCAUACUCUCCAACUAUUCAGAUGUUUCAACAGGUUGCUGCUGCUGAGCCACCACCAGAUGGAUGCAGUGCAUUUGUGGUUAUCCAUGGGAAGUCCACCUGUAAAAUUAGUGAGAUUAAAAAGCUGCUGAAUAAGGCUGCUGCAAGACCCAGGCCUUACCUAUUUGAAAGAGAUCAUAAGUUUCCCACAAGCAAUGAGAACUUACCAGUGGUUAUUCUCUAUGCAGAAAUUGGUACAAAAGAAUUUGCUGAAUUUCACAGAGUGUUGUCUAAGAAAUCUAAAAGUGGUAAAAUUCUGUAUGUUCUUCGCCACUAUAUUAAGAAGCCAAGCUCCAGGAAGAUGUUCUUAUCUGGCUAUGGUGUGGAGCUAGCGAUUAAAGACACAGAAUACAAAGCGUUGGAUGACACACAGAUUAAAACUAUGACUGACGCUGCUGUAGAGAAGGAGGCUGAAGCGGAUGAAGUUCAAGGAUUUCUCUUUGGGAAACUAAAAGAGAUAUAUUCAGAUCUUAAAGAUAAUCUGACAGCAUUCCAAAAGUACUUGAUUGAGAGCAGCAAACAAAUGAUGCCUUUGAAAGUCUGGGAAUUACAAGAUCUUAGUUUUCAAGCAGCCACGCAAAUAGUGUCCACUCCUGUUUAUGAUGCCAUAAAACUAAUGAAAGAUAUUUCACAGAACUUCCCCAUAAAAGCCAGAUCUCUGACAAGGAUUGCUGUAAGUGAACUAAUGAGAAAAGAAAUAAAGGGAAAUCAAAAGGACCUGCAAGAUAGAUUUGAAAUUAAGCCAGGUGAUGCUCGUCUAUUUAUAAAUGGCCUUCUUGUUGACAUGGAUGUUUAUGAUCCUUUUAGUAUUCUAGAUAUGCUGAAAUCAGAAGGAAAACUGAUGAGUGGCCUUAAAAAUCUUGGGCUCAGUGAAGAAGAUAUGAGCAAAUUUUUAAAAUUGAAUUCCCCUGUUUGGAACUAUGAGUAUGUGUUAGAUAUUCGGCAUUCUUCAAUAGUGUGGAUUAAUGACUUAGAAAAUGAUGGUUUGUAUAUUACUUGGCCUACAAGUUGCUGGGAAUUUCUGAAACCAGUGUUACAUGGAACAGUUCCAUCUAUAAGGCGUAAUUUUCAUAAUUUGGUUCUGUUUAUUGACCCUGCUCAAGAAUACACCCUGGACUUCAUAAGAUUGGCAGAAUUUUUUUAUUAUAAUGAAAUUCCUCUUAGAAUUGGUUUUGUGUUCAUUCUUAAUAUUGAUAAUGAAGUUGAUGGAACAACAGAUGCUGGAGUUGCCCUUUGGCGAGCUUUCAAUUAUAUUGAAGAAAAAUAUGGUGUAUCAGAAGCAUUUAUCUCCAUGAUGCAUAUGUACAAAGAAGUGAAGGGUCAUCGUGUACUCACUGUGGAUAACGUGAAAAGUGUUCUUCAAAAUAAAUCCCCAUAUGCUGACAUUUUGGAUAUUUUGGGAAGCCAUUCCAAAUAUGACAGAAGAAGGGCGGCAGGAACAAGCUUCUAUAAGAUGACUGGCCUAGGCCCUUUGCCUCAAGCUCUUUAUAAUGGUGAACCCUUUGACCUCAAAGAGGCGAGCACUGAAGGGCUGAAAGGGGCUGUUCUGGGAAAAAUGAUGGAUGCGUUUGUGUAUCUACAAAGAGAUGUUUUCAUGGGCACAUUAAAUGAUGAAAUCAAUGCAAUUGAUUUCCUGAUGGAUAAAAAUAAUGUUGUACCCCGUUUAAAUUCUUUGAUUUUGCACACUGAACCACAGUACCUUAAUUUAUUACCCUCAUCAGUAACUGCUGAUAUUGAAGAUUUCUCUACUUUCUCUUUCUUGGAUUCCCAAGAUAAGAGUGCUGUGAUAGCAGAAAGUAUGCAGUAUUUAACCCAAGAAGAUCCUGUGGUAUCUACAGUCACUCUGUGGAUUAUUGCUGAUUUUGAUGUGCCAUCUGGGAGAAAACUGCUUUUGAAUGCCUUAGAGCACAUGGAAACAAGUGUUCAUAGUCGGUUGGGGAUCAUUUAUAAUCCUACAUUAGAGAUAAAUGAAGAGAACACAGUCAUUUCUAGAGGAAUUCUGGCAGCUUUUCUUACACAUAAAAACAGCCUUUUAAGAAGAUUUCUCAGAAAACUGGCAAAAGAAGAAACUGCUGAAGCAAUUUAUUCUGGAGAUAAAAUUAAGACAUUCCUUACUAUGGAGAUGGAUAAGAAUGCUUUUGAGAAAAAAUAUAACACCAUUGGAGUAAAUAUUUUCCGAACCCACCAGUUAUUCUGUCAAGAUGUACUUCAAUUGCAGCCUGGCAAAAUUGGUAUUGUCAGCAAUGGGAGAUUCUUAGGACCUUUACAUGAAGAAUUCUACCUAGAAGAUUUUCACUUGAUUGAAAAGAUAACAUUUAGUAAUUCAGUAGAGAAAAUUAAAGACAUUGUUGAAAAUAUGGAAAUCAACUCAAAACACAUGAGCGACCUUGUGAUGAAGAUUGAUGCGCUUGUGUCUCCAUUGCCUGUGCGUGCCUCUCGAUACAAUGUCACAGUACUCAAAGAGAAUCACAGUGUUAUAAAGAUAAAUCCUCCAGAGAAUGACAUGUUCUUUGAUGUCAUUGCUAUUGUGGACCCUUUGACAAGACAAGCUCAGCAGAUGGCACAGUUACUGGUUGUACUUGGCAAGAUUGUAAAUGCAAGGAUAAAGCUGUUCAUGAACUGCAGGAGCAAGCUUUCGGAAGCCCCUUUAAGAAGCUUUUACCGUUUUGUUCUGGAACCAGAGCUGAUGUCAGGGGCUAACAAUAGUCCUUCUCAUGGACCAGUGGCAAAAUUCCUGGACAUCCCAGAAUCACACCUUCUAACUCUCAACAUGAUUACACCAGAAGGAUGGCUGGUUGAAAUAGUACACAGCAACUGUGACCUUGAUAAUAUUAACUUAAAAGAUACUGAAAGAGUUGUUACUGCAGAGUAUGAGCUAGAGUAUCUGCUACUUGAAGGACAUUGCUUUGACAUGACAACAGAACAGCCCCCUCAGGGUCUGCAGUUCACGCUGGGCACAAAAAACAAUGCUGCUUUAGUUGACACUAUAGUGAUGGCCAAUCUUGGGUAUUUUCAAUUAAAAGCAAACCCAGGUGCAUGGAUACUGAAAUUACGUGAAGGAAAAUCUGAAGAUAUUUAUGAAAUAGUUGGGCAUGAAGGAACAGACUCCGAGACAGAUGCUGGAGAUGUCAUUGUUGUGUUAAACACUUUCAAGAGCAAGAUACUGAAAGUGGAGGUAAAGAAAAAAUUAGGUAAAAUCAAGGAAGAUAUCCUUGCUGAUAAACAUGAAAACAGAGGCAUGUGGGAUUCACUUAAAAGCUUCACACAAAGUCUACAUAAAGAUGACAAGAAGGAAAAUGACAUCCUAAACAUUUUUUCAGUUGCUUCUGGCCAUUUAUAUGAACGUUUUCUGCGGAUUAUGAUGCUUUCUGUUCUUCGGAACACCAAAACACCAGUGAAGUUCUGGUUUCUGAAGAAUUACCUCUCGCCAACAUUUAAAGAGGUAAUUCCUCACAUGGCUAAGGAAUAUGGAUUCCAGUAUGAACUUGUCCAAUAUAAGUGGCCCCGUUGGCUUCAUCAACAGACUGAAAAGCAACGAAUCAUUUGGGGUUACAAAAUUCUUUUCCUUGACGUCCUUUUUCCACUAUCAGUGGACAAAAUCAUAUUUGUUGAUGCUGACCAGAUUGUGAGACAUGACCUAAAAGAGCUUCGGGAUUUUGAUCUGGGUGGAGCUCCUUAUGGAUAUACUCCAUUCUGUGAUAGCCGCACUGAAAUGGAUGGGUAUCGUUUCUGGAAAACUGGAUAUUGGGCAUCACAUCUUAUGAAAAGGAAAUACCAUAUCAGUGCCUUAUAUGUGGUGGAUCUCAAGAAGUUCAGGAGAAUCUCAGCAGGUGAUAGGCUUCGGGGCCAGUACCAAGCUCUUAGCCAAGAUCCAAAUAGUCUUUCAAACCUAGAUCAGGAUCUUCCCAAUAAUAUGAUUUAUCAAGUUGCCAUUAAGUCUCUUCCUCAAGACUGGCUGUGGUGUGAAACCUGGUGUGAUGAUGAAUCUAAACAAAGAGCCAAAACAAUUGAUCUGUGCAAUAAUCCCAAAACAAAAGAACCCAAACUAGAAGCUGCUGUGAGGAUUGUCCCAGAAUGGGUCGAAUAUGAUACAGAAAUACGAAAAUUAUUAGAUUAUCUUGAAAAUAAGAAAAAUGCAAUUUCUGUACAUGAUGAACUCUAGCACUGGUUUCCAGAAGAUAAACUAUGAUGAAAAUCUGCCACCUGCUGGGAAUUUGUGGAACUGCUGGAACUAGGCCAUGGCAGAAACUGGACAAAAGCAGUAAGUGCAUGUUGACUGUAUGUCAUGUACCCACCUCCCAUUGAAAGAUCUGCUCAGAAAUAGUAGGGAAAAAAAGAAAGAAAGAAAAGAAAAGGUAUGGGCUCUAGAGUCACUGGGAUAUGAACUGUAGGCUUAAGAUAACUGUAUACUUUCACUGGACUAUGAAGCCCAAACAGUAGUAACAGGAGCUUGUGUCUGCUAAAGGAAAGCCAGAGGCCCUGAGGAAAAAAUGACAAUGUCCCUCUGCUUCUGGCUGCCAGGCAGCACUGGGCCUCUUUCACCUGCUGGCUUCUUCAGAGUAAGGCUGACCGUGUCUGUACUGUCAUGGUAUCAAGAUUACUACUAGGAAUUUGGAAAGUUUCUAAUCUUUCUGUAAAAGUUUUAUAUAAAUGCAUUUUUCCUUCAAUACAGAAUAUAUAACUGAAGUCAAAAGCAGGCUUUGCUGUUGCUAGAAACUUACCUGAGCUGUGCUAUGGUACCUUCCUGUAACUAGAAGACAACAGAAAUGAAUAGUCAGAGUUCAGAUGAAGGUACCUCUUAAGACUUUAAUAUUAAAAUAGAAGUAGUAGUAGUAGUCCACUAUUUUAAGGCCCAAUUUCCUAGGAUUGAUGAGUUAGAAGAUUUGUAAAUAUAUCUAUAUUCUGUGCUCUGACCCUCCCUGUAAACUCACAUAAAGGAGGAAAGACUUUUUGUCAACUCAGUCACUGAUUUUGUGUGAAGUAAAGUUGGAAACAGACUUAAGAUGGACUUUCUUAGAAUUUUAACUCAAAGGUUAAACAUGAAUCAGAAGCAAGAAAGUAGUGGAUAUGACCAUAAUUUUUUUUUCUCUUUUUUUAUUAUUAUUAU